rnacentral:rRNA from 1 species
UACGUAGGGUGCGAGCGUUAAUCGGAAUUACUGGGCGUAAAGCGCGCGCAGGCGGCCUUUCAAGUCAGGGGUGAAAGCCCGGAGCUCAACUCCGGGAAUUGCCUUUGAAACUGUCAGGCUCGAGUACGGGAGAGGUGAGUGGAAUCCCAGUGUAGAGGUGAAAUUCGUGAGAUAUUGGGAAGAACACCGGUGGCGAAGGCGGCUCACUGGCCCGUUCUGACGCUCAGGCGCGACAGCGUGGGGAUCAAACAGG